GUCUGACGGAGCAACGCCGCGUGAGUGAUGAAGGUUUUCGGAUCGUAAAACUCUGUUGUUAGGGAAGAACAAGUACCGUUCGAAUAGGGCGGCACCUUGACGGUACCUAACCAGAAAGCCACGGCUAACUACGUGCCAGCAGCCGCGGUAAUACGUAGGUGGCAAGCGUUGUCCGGAAUUAUUGGGCGUAAAGCGCGCGCAGGCGGUUUCUUAAGUCUGAUGUGAAAGCCCCCGGCUCAACCGGGGAGGGUCAUUGGAAACUGGGGAACUUGAGUGCAGAAGAGGAGAGUGGAAUUCCACGUGUAGCGGUGAAAUGCGUAGAGAUGUGGAGGAACACCAGUGGCGAAGGCGACUCUCUGGUCUGUAACUGACGCUGAGGCGCGAAAGCGUGGGGAGCGAACAGGAUUAGAUACCCUGGUAGUCCACGCCGUAAACGAUGAGUGCUAAGUGUUAGAGGGUUUCCGCCCUUUAGUGCUGCAGCAAACGCAUUAAGCACUCCGCCUGGGGAGUACGGUCGCAAGACUGAAACUCAAAGGAAUUGACGGA
rnacentral:rRNA from 1 species